UUUUAUAUUACUUUAAUACCUAGGGGCAUUUUGGUAAUCUAUAAUUUUUACCAAUUAAACUAAUUUUUUAAAUCUGUCACAUCAAUCAAAUCCUACACUAAUUCUCACAAACUUUACUCUCAAAUCCACUCUCAAUUACCCACAAAUCCACUCAAAAAAACAACAAUAAAAUUAUCCUCAAAUCCACUCAAAUCCAUUCAAAU
rnacentral:lncRNA from 1 species